GCGACCGUAGCUCAGUCAGGUUAGAGCGCCAGGUUGUGGCCCUGGAGGACGGGGGUUCAAGUCCCCUCGGUCGUCCCA
rnacentral:tRNA from 3 species